rnacentral:lncRNA from 1 species
GUUGGCAGUAGGAGGCCAAGUGGCCAUGGUCCCCAGGCAAGCACUUGCAGGUCUAGAGGAUAAUACAAGUCUGUCAAGCUCAGUUUCCAUGGCUGACUAGGAUGCCUGCUAGGCAAGCAGAUGUCCUAAAGUCAGAGUGAAUCACAGUGUAUGAAUGUUACAAAGUGAAAUCUGGGAAAGUGGUAUGCCUUGUGUAAUUUGUCCCCUGCUGUGUCGACCUGCUUCCAAAAGGAGAGGACUGAAGAGAGAUGGCAUAAAGCUUACAGGUUCCUGGAGAUGAUGCACCACCCAUCAAUUCAGGCUUCUGGAUAUGAUACUGAUGGUAAACUGCCCCCUUGGUGUGGCAACACUUGAAGUGCCAUCUCUGGGACCCUCUAGUAACUUGUCAAAGAUGGACUGAUGGCUUGAAGAAACUUCACCUUAGAAAGGACAGUGCUUCACUACGUUUUCCAGGAUGGUGAAGCAGGACAAGGUGAUUCCUCGUUUCGUUGUGCAGCUAACAAGUGUGCACUCUCAUUUGCUUCUGAUUUUCUGCAGUGCUAGAGCAAUGGGCUCAAGUCACCAUUGAACACAUGCAGAAAUCAGUGGAUCCUGCAGUGGCUUCAAAGGAUGUGAUGGUGGAGGAAGACUGACCAAAGACAGGAAGGGACCAGGCUUCCCUGUUGCCAAUGACAUGGCUUCCUUCCAAAAUGUUCUACCUUUUAAAGAUACUGUUACCUCCUAGUAGCAUCAUGGGCUGAGGACAAAGCCUUCAACACAUGGACCUUUGGUGGAAAUUUGAGAUCUAAAUGGAUUUCAGACACUGGAUAUAUAAGUUCAUUGCAGAAUAUUCCAUCAGAGGACAUAUAAAAUCAAUAGUCAAUCCUCUUUUACUUAAAGAAGAAUUGGGGCAUGAUGAAAAGAAUAUGGAAGUCUUCCAAUAGCUGGGCCCUCAGCUGUGGACCACAGAGGUACUGCUGUCUCUU